rnacentral:rRNA from 1 species
GCGUAAAGCGUGCGCAGGCGGUUUGCUAAGACAGGUGUGAAAUCCCCGAGCUUAACUUGGGAAUUGCGCUUGUAACUGGCAAGCUAGAGUGUGGCAGAGGGGGGUGGAAUUCCACGUGUAGCAGUGAAAUGCGUAGAUAUGUGGAGGAACACCGAUGGCGAAGGCAGCCCCCUGGGUUAACACUGACGCUCAUGCACGAAAGCGUGGGGAGCAAACAGGAUUAGAUACCCUGGUAGUCCACGCCCUAAACUAUGUCAACUAGUUGUCGGGGAAGAAAUUCCUUGGUAACGAAGCUAACGCGUGAAGUUGACCGCCCGGGGAGUACGGCCGCAAGGUUAAAACUCAAAGGAAUUGACGGGGACCCGCACAAGCGGUGGAUUAUGUGGAUUAAUUCGAUACAACGCGAAAAACCUUACCUACCCUUGACAUGCCAGGAAGCCCGCAGAGAUGUGGGUGUGCCCGAAAGGGAACCUGGACACAGGUGCUGCAUGGCUGUCGUCAGCUCGUGUCGUGAGAUGUUGGGUUAAGUCCCGCAACGAGCGCAACCCUUGCCAUUAGUUGCUACAUUCAGUUGGGCACUCUAAUGGGACCGCCGGUGACAAACUCGGAGGAAGGUGGGGAUGACGUCAAGUCCUCAUGGCCCUUAUGGGUAGGGCUUCACACGUAAUACAAUGGUCGGUACAGAGGGCUGCCAACCCGCAAGGGGGAGCUAAUCCCAGAAAGCCGAUCGUAGUCCGGAUUGUAGUCUGCAACUCGACUGCAUGAAGCCGGAAUCGCUAGUAAUCGCGGAUC